ACUAAGCGUACACGGUGGAUGCCCUGGCAGUCAGAGGCGAUGAAGGACGUGCUAAUCUGCGAUAAGCGUCGGUAAGGUGAUAUGAACCGUUAUAACCGGCGAUUUCCGAAUGGGGAAACCCAGUGUGAUUCGUCACACUAUCAUUAACUGAAUCCAUAGGUUAAUGAGGCGAACCGGGGGAACUGAAACAUCUAAGUACCCCGAGGAAAAGAAAUCAACCGAGAUUCCCCCAGUAGCGGCGAGCGAACGGGGAGGAGCCCAGAGCCUGAAUCAGUGUGUGUGUUAGUGGAAGCGUCUGGAAAGGCGCGCGAUACAGGGUGACAGCCCCGUACACAAAAAUGCACAUGCUGUGAGCUCGAUGAGUAGGGCGGGACACGUGGUAUCCUGUCUGAAUAUGGGGGGACCAUCCUCCAAGGCUAAAUACUCCUGACUGACCGAUAGUGAACCAGUACCGUGAGGGAAAGGCGAAAAGAACCCCGGCGAGGGGAGUGAAAAAGAACCUGAAACCGUGUACGUACAAGCAGUGGGAGCACAGAGCAAUCUGUGUGACUGCGUACCUUUUGUAUAAUGGGUCAGCGACUUAUAUUCUGUAGCAAGGUUAACCGAAUAGGGGAGCCGAAGGGAAACCGAGUCUUAACUGGGCGUUAAGUUGCAGGGUAUAGACCCGAAACCCGGUGAUCUAGCCAUGGGCAGGUUGAAGGUUGGGUAACACUAACUGGAGGACCGAACCGACUAAUGUUGAAAAAUUAGCGGAUGACUUGUGGCUGGGGGUGAAAGGCCAAUCAAACCGGGAGAUAGCUGGUUCUCCCCGAAAGCUAUUUAGGUAGCGCCUCGUGAAUUCAUCUCCGGGGGUAGAGCACUGUUUCGGCAAGGGGGUCAUCCCGACUUACCAACCCGAUGCAAACUGCGAAUACCGGAGAAUGUUAUCACGGGAGACACACGGCGGGUGCUAACGUCCGUCGUGAAGAGGGAAACAACCCAGACCGCCAGCUAAGGUCCCAAAGUCAUGGUUAAGUGGGAAACGAUGUGGGAAGGCCCAGACAGCCAGGAUGUUGGCUUAGAAGCAGCCAUCAUUUAAAGAAAGCGUAAUAGCUCACUGGUCGAGUCGGCCUGCGCGGAAGAUGUAACGGGGCUAAACCAUGCACCGAAGCUGCGGCAGCGACGCUUAUGCGUUGUUGGGUAGGGGAGCGUUCUGUAAGCCUGUGAAGGUGUGCUGUGAGGCAUGCUGGAGGUAUCAGAAGUGCGAAUGCUGACAUAAGUAACGAUAAAGCGGGUGAAAAGCCCGCUCGCCGGAAGACCAAGGGUUCCUGUCCAACGUUAAUCGGGGCAGGGUGAGUCGACCCCUAAGGCGAGGCCGAAAGGCGUAGUCGAUGGGAAACAGGUUAAUAUUCCUGUACUUGGUGUUACUGCGAAGGGGGGACGGAGAAGGCUAUGUUGGCCGGGCGACGGUUGUCCCGGUUUAAGCGUGUAGGCUGGUUUUCCAGGCAAAUCCGGAAAAUCAAGGCUGAGGCGUGAUGACGAGGCACUACGGUGCUGAAGCAACAAAUGCCCUGCUUCCAGGAAAAGCCUCUAAGCAUCAGGUAACAUCAAAUCGUACCCCAAACCGACACAGGUGGUCAGGUAGAGAAUACCAAGGCGCUUGAGAGAACUCGGGUGAAGGAACUAGGCAAAAUGGUGCCGUAACUUCGGGAGAAGGCACGCUGAUAUGUAGGUGAAGUCCCUCGCGGAUGGAGCUGAAAUCAGUCGAAGAUACCAGCUGGCUGCAACUGUUUAUUAAAAACACAGCACUGUGCAAACACGAAAGUGGACGUAUACGGUGUGACGCCUGCCCGGUGCCGGAAGGUUAAUUGAUGGGGUUAGCGCAAGCGAAGCUCUUGAUCGAAGCCCCGGUAAACGGCGGCCGUAACUAUAACGGUCCUAAGGUAGCGAAAUUCCUUGUCGGGUAAGUUCCGACCUGCACGAAUGGCGUAAUGAUGGCCAGGCUGUCUCCACCCGAGACUCAGUGAAAUUGAACUCGCUGUGAAGAUGCAGUGUACCCGCGGCAAGACGGAAAGACCCCGUGAACCUUUACUAUAGCUUGACACUGAACAUUGAGCCUUGAUGUGUAGGAUAGGUGGGAGGCUUUGAAGUGUGGACGCCAGUCUGCAUGGAGCCGACCUUGAAAUACCACCCUUUAAUGUUUGAUGUUCUAACGUUGACCCGUAAUCCGGGUUGCGGACAGUGUCUGGUGGGUAGUUUGACUGGGGCGGUCUCCUCCUAAAGAGUAACGGAGGAGCACGAAGGUUGGCUAAUCCUGGUCGGACAUCAGGAGGUUAGUGCAAUGGCAUAAGCCAGCUUGACUGCGAGCGUGACGGCGCGAGCAGGUGCGAAAGCAGGUCAUAGUGAUCCGGUGGUUCUGAAUGGAAGGGCCAUCGCUCAACGGAUAAAAGGUACUCCGGGGAUAACAGGCUGAUACCGCCCAAGAGUUCAUAUCGACGGCGGUGUUUGGCACCUCGAUGUCGGCUCAUCACAUCCUGGGGCUGAAGUAGGUCCCAAGGGUAUGGCUGUUCGCCAUUUAAAGUGGUACGCGAGCUGGGUUUAGAACGUCGUGAGACAGUUCGGUCCCUAUCUGCCGUGGGCGCUGGAGAAUUGAGGGGGGCUGCUCCUAGUACGAGAGGACCGGAGUGGACGCAUCACUGGUGUUCGGGUUGUCAUGCCAAUGGCACUGCCCGGUAGCUAAAUGCGGAAGAGAUAAGUGCUGAAAGCAUCUAAGCACGAAACUUGCCCCGAGAUGAGUUCUCCCUGACUCCUUGAGAGUCCUGAAGGAACGUUGAAGACGACGACGUUGAUAGGCCGGGUGUGUAAGCGCAGCGAUGCGUUGAGCUAACCGGUACUAAUGAACCGUGAGGCUUAACC
rnacentral:rRNA from 1 species